rnacentral:tRNA from 1 species
GGGGAUUUAGCUCAGCGGCAUAAGCGCCUGCCUUGCAAGCAGGCAGUCGUGAGUUCAAUCCCUCAUACCGCU